AUCAUUACCUGGCAGGGGGAAUACCACGAUCAAGAAAGUGGUUUCCUCAGGGUGAGACUGUUCCAUUGCACACGUUGGUUGGGUUGACCCCUGUGAUUUCCCGAAAUGUGGAAAACUCACCUGUAUAACUUAUGGCGCAGUGGUUAACAUUGUUGCCUCACA